rnacentral:rRNA from 1 species
UGGGGAAUAUUGCACAAUGGGCGCAAGCCUGAUGCAGCCAUGCCGCGUGUAUGAAGAAGGCCUUCGGGUUGUAAAGUACUUUCAGCGGGGAGGAAGGGAGUAAAGUUAAUACCUUUGCUCAUUGACGUUACCCGCAGAGGAAGCACCGGCUAACUCCGUGCCAGCAGCCGCGGUAAUACGGAGGGUGCAAGCGUUAAUCGGAAUUACUGGGCGUAAAGCGCACGCAGGCGGUUUGUUAAGUCAGAUGUGAAAUCCCCGGGCUCAACCUGGGAACUGCAUCUGAUACUGGCAAGCUUGAGUCUCGUAGAGGGGGGUAGAAUUCCAGGUGUAGCGGUGAAAUGCGUAGAGAUCUGGAGGAAUACCGGUGGCGAAGGCGGCCCCCUGGACAAAGACUGACGCUCAGGUGCGAAAGCGUGGGGAGCAAACAGG